GACGAACGCUGGCGGCGUGCCUAAUACAUGCAAGUCGAACGAAGUGGCGAACGGGUGAGUAACGCGUAAUCAACCUGCCCUUCAGAGGGGGACAACAGUUGGAAACGACUGCUAAUACCGCAUACUGAAGGAGUGGAUUGCGUCGGAUUGGCUAGUUGGAGGGGUAACGGCCCGCCAAGGCGAUGGUCAGUCGCCGGGCUGAGAGGAUGAACGGACAAAUUGGGACUGAGACACGGCCCAGAAUCCCUAGGGAGGCAGGAGUGGGGAAUCUUCCGCAAUGGAGGAAAGUCUGAAGGAGCAACGCCGGGUGAGUGAUGACGGCCUUCGGGUUUGAAAGCUCUGUUAAUCGGGAAGCGGUACCGGAAUAGAAAGCCACGGCUAACUACGUGCCAGCAGCCGCGGUAAUUC
rnacentral:rRNA from 1 species